AGUUACUUUACUUUAAGCAGCCAAGAAUGGGUCGUGAUGAAAAAAGAUAAAUUACAAAGUAGCAAGAAACUUUGCAUCUAAAAAUGAUGGGAUAUAGACGGGAUCCAUUUCUUAUCUUGGUACCAAAA